rnacentral:rRNA from 1 species
UACGUAGGGGGCAAGCGUUGUCCGGAAUCAUUGGGCGUAAAGAGCGCGUAGGCGGCCCUGUAAGUCCGCUGUGAAAGUCAAGGGCUCAACCCUUGAAUGCCGGUGGAUACUGCAGGGCUAGAGUCCGGAAGAGGCGAGUGGAAUUCCUGGUGUAGCGGUGAAAUGCGCAGAUAUCAGGAAGAACACCCGUGGCGAAGGCGGCUCUCUGGGACGGUACUGACGCUGAGACGCGAAAGCGUGGGGAGCGAACAGG